rnacentral:tRNA from 1 species
GGAGAGUUGCCGGAGUGGUCGAACGGGGCGGUCUCGAAAACCGUUGUAGUCUUUGGCUACCGGGGGUUCGAAUCCCUCACUCUCCG